GCCAAUAUAGCAUAGUGGUUUGAGUAUUGGACUAUGACUCUGGAGUUUAGGGUUCAAAUCCCUGCUCAGCCA